GCCCUGGUGGUCUAGUGGUUAAGCUUUGGCGUUCUCACUGCUGCGGCCUGGGUUUGAUUCCCAGUCAGGGAA
rnacentral:tRNA from 1 species